CAAUAGCGUAUAUUAAAGUUGUUGCGGUUAAAAAGCUCGUAGUUGGAUUUCUGCUGAGGACGACCGGUCCGCCCUCUGGGUGAGUAUCUGGCUCGGCCUUGGCAUCUUCUUGGAGAACGUAACUGCACUUGACUGUGUGGUACGGUAUCCAGGACUUUUACUUUGAGGAAAUUAGAGUGUUUCAAGCAGGCGCACGCCUUGAAUACAUUAGCAUGGAAUAAUAAGAUAGGACCUUGGUUCUAUUUUGUUGGUUUCUAGAGCUGAGGUAAUGAUUAAGAGGAACAGUUGGGGGGCAUUCGUAUUUCAUUGUCAGAGGUGAAAUUCUUGGAUUUAUGAAAGACGAACUUCUGCGAAAGCAUUUGCCAAGGAUGUUUUCAUUAAUCAAGAACGAAAGUUGGGGCUCGAAGAUGAUUAGAU
rnacentral:rRNA from 1 species